GAUGAACGCUGACAGAAUGCUUAACACAUGCAAGUCAACUUGAAUUUGGGUUUUUAACUUAGGUUUGGGUGGCGGACGGGUGAGUAACGCGUAAAGAACUUGCCUCACAGCUAGGGACAACAUUUGGAAACGAAUGCUAAUACCUAAUAUUAUGAUAAUAGGGCAUCCUAUAAUUAUGAAAGCUAUAAGCGCUGUGAGAGGGCUUUGCGUCCCAUUAGCUAGUUGGAGAGGUAACGGCUCACCAAGGCGAUGAUGGGUAGCCGGCCUGGGAGGGUGAUCGGCCACAAGGGGACUGAGACACGGCCCUUACUCCUACGGGAGGCAGCAGUGGGGAAUAUUGGACAAUGGACCGAGAGUCUGAUCCAGCAAUUCUGUGUGCACGAUGAAGUUUUUCGGAAUGUAAAGUGCUUUCAGUUAGGAAGAAACAAAUGACGGUACCAACAGAAGAAGUGACGGCUAAAUACGUG
rnacentral:rRNA from 1 species